ensembl:lncRNA
UGGCAGGCUCCAGCAGUAUAGUGCUCACUGGAAUGGCUGCUCGAGUUUGGCGUGACAUAAGACGCUCAGCAGCAGAGCCUAAUGUUGGGUCACGGGGAAUGUUUCUGAGGAUCAGGAUAUUGAGAAACACAUCAGAUCCUUCUCUGUGCGAUUUCUCCAUGAGUUGCCUGGCACUGCGGACUGCUCUUUCCGCGAGUCCGUUUGACUGGGGAAACUCCGGGCUGCUUGUGUAUGGAAGGGGAGAAUUGGAGGUACCUGGUCAGGUCUUGGUCAGCCUUCAAAUCCCAGAUGUGGAGACUGCAGGGAUACCUCACAGAGAAGACACUAAAGAGUCAUCUCUCAUUCAUCGAGUGGACUCAUUGGUUUGCGAAUGACCACAAAGAUGCUCCCAUAGGCAGAUUGCUGCAUGGUAUUCAACACUUAUUCAAAUUGUAGAGGUUGAAGCAGUCUUCCUUGUGGUCACUUGCCAUAACACUGUCAUGUGAUUUAUCAAAACACCAUCAGUAACAUUUUAAUUGAGUUGAUGUGGACGGCUCUUUUUUUUUGUCUGAUUUUUUUUCAGUGUUCAGUGCCUGUUUGUGAGAUAUGCAUUGUUUGAAAGAUAAGCCUUUGAUUUUGUUUAAUUUUAAUAUGCCUUUCAUCAUCAGUGGUUUGGGGUUUUAUAACAACAAUUAAAGUGCUUAACUACUGGUGAACGAUGUUGCAGAACAUAUAUGGUCUGUGUUCAUUGCAUGGAAAAGGGAAUAACCCGUUACAACUUAUAUGGUAAGAACCUGGUAAUACCAUGGAAACAAACAAGGCUUCCUUUUACAGUACAGUUUCAGCUUAAUUACUGGGUAAAUCGUCGUGUUUUACAUGGGAACGUCGCAGAACGUACAUGGGACAAGUUUGUGUUGACUGCAUGGAAAAGGGAAUAAUGUAUUACAAAUUAUAUGGUAAGAACCUGGUAAUACCAUGGAAACAAACAAGGCUUCCUUUUACAGUACUGUUUCAGCUUAAUUACUUGGUAAAUUGUCGUGUUCUACUUGGUAACGUCGCAGAACGUACAUGGUACAAGUUUGUGUUGACUGCAUGGAAAAGGGAAUAAUGUAUCGCAAAUUAUAUGGCAAGAACCUGGUAAUACCAUGGAAAUAAACAAGGCUUCCUUUUACAGUACAGUUUCAGCUUACUUACU